rnacentral:rRNA from 1 species
AUUGAACGCUGGCGGCAGGCCUAACACAUGCAAGUCGAGCGGAGCGGCGGACGGGUGAGUAAUGCCUAGGAAUCUGCCUGGUAGUGGGGGCUAACGUCCGGAAACGGGCGCUAAUACCGCAUACUAUCAGAUGAGCCUAGGUCGGAUUGGCUAGUUGGUGGGGUAAAGGCCUACCAAGGCGACGAUCCGUAACUGGUCUGAGAGGAGGAUCAGUCACACUGGAACGGAGACACGGGCCAGACUCCUACGGGAGGCAGCAGUGGGGAAGAUUGGACAAUGGGCGAAAGCCUGAGCCAGCCAGGCCGCGGGUGGGAAGAAGGUCUUCGGAGGGUAAAGCACUUUAAGUUGGGAGGCGUUACCAACAGAAUAAGCACCGGCUAACUUCGUGCCAGCAGCCGCGGUAAUUC